rnacentral:rRNA from 1 species
UACGUAGGGUGCGAGCGUUAAUCGGAAUUACUGGGCGUAAAGGGUGCGCAGGCGGCGUCGCAAGUCAGGCGUGAAAUCCCCGGGCUUAACCUGGGAACUGCACUUGAAACUACGAUGCUGGAGUAUGGCAGAGGGAGGUGGAAUUCCACGUGUAGCGGUGAAAUGCGUAGAGAUGUGGAGGAACACCGAUGGCGAAGACAGCCUCCUGGGCCAAUACUGACGCUCAUGCACGAAAGCGUGGGGAGCAAACAGG